AUGGUUUGUAGAGAUGCAUCUUCUCUUCUUCUUUUUGGUUCUUCAGAGGAGCGAUGCUGCCUGUGGGUCGUGGACAAAGCGGCUGCUACUUCCAGGAUAACAGGGACAAUGCUUCUGCCAUACCGGCAGGUGCUGGACAUGAUUCUCAAAGAAGAUACAGAUGUGCAUGCUUCACAUCUUCUACACGGUUAUGCAAAGUGGGAUUUUAUUCAUAUUUUGAUGAGCUUAAUUUCUUAUGCUACUAUUUGCUUCUGCCUGAAGGAUACAUAUGGUAUGUUUUGUGAGCGGUGGGUAUGGAUGAGGGUUUUGUGA
rnacentral:rRNA from 1 species